rnacentral:rRNA from 1 species
GUGGUUCAUGACUGGGGUGAAGUCGUAACAAGGUAGCGCUAGGGGAACCUGGCGCUGGAUCACCUCCUUA